UCUUUGCUAGUAUAUCGGAUAGUACAGCCGCCUGUCAUACGAUGGGUCGCGGCAGAGCUGGGUUCGACUCCCAGGCAGAGAG